rnacentral:rRNA from 1 species
UGGGGAAUUUUGGGCAAUGGGCGCAAGCCUGACCCAGCAACGCCGCGUGGAGGAUGAAGGUUUUCGGAUCGUAAACUCCUGUCUAGAGGGACGAAGAAGAUGACGGUACCUCUGGAGGAAGCCCCGGCUAACUCCGUGCCAGCAGCCGCGGUAAUACGGGGGGGGCGAGCGUUGUUCGGAAUUACUGGGCGUAAAGGGCGCGUAGGCGGUAUGGGAAGUCAUGGGUGAAAGUCCUCGGCUCAACCGAGGGAUUGCCUGUGAAACCACCUUACUGGAGUGCUGGAGAGGGAAGUGGAAUUCCCAGUGUAGCGGUGAAAUGCGUAGAUACUGGUAGGAACACCCAUUGCGAAGGCAGCUCUCUGGACAGCACGUGACGCUGAGGCGCGAAAGUGUGGGGAGCAAACCGGAUUAGAUACCCGGGUAGUCCACACCCUAAACGAUGCAUACUUGGUGCCGGCCCGUUGGGGUCGGAGCCGGAGCUAACGCGUUAAGUAUGCCGCCUGGGAAGUACGGCCGCAAGGUUG